UGUAAUUUGUGUUUUUGGGACGCGAGUCCCAAAAACAAUCUUUUAAUCAGUAGUUUCACAAUUUUCGAAGGCUUAUUAUUCGAAGGGUAUUCAUGUAAACGUCUUCAAACUUUGUAUACUUACUAAUUUUGAGGUGGUCUUUUUAGUGAUUUGGUUCAUUUCUUAAUUUGGGCACUUUUUAACACUCGUCUCCAGUCCACUCAUCAACUUCGGAAUGGCUAAUAGGAAACAGCAAUUGGACCAAUUGCCUCCUACUUAUCUUUUUAUGGCGAGGGAGAAACAUUAGAAUAUAUUCCAAGGGCAAUAAUCCAAACAGAGCGAAUGAGCUAACGUUUAUGCCCAUUGGUGGCGUUCCCACCCAAUUCACAUUUUCACAUUGAUAACUCACAUCUAAUCUUCCAAUACACAGAACAACUAUGGGGUCUAUUUGUUAUUUUUAGGGACUCUGUGAAACGCUAUGUCAUGCAUUUUGGACACGUUUUAUGUCCUAUUUAAAACAUGAGCAGCAGUGUUCUAUCAGAGGAAGCCGAGUGUCUUUAGCUUUGAUAAAACACGCACUGCUAAUGUUUUAAUAUAUUAUAAAUAUAUAAAUAAUAAUUAAUAUGGUUUUGUGGUGUUGCAUUUUGUUGCAGUAGUGCUGUAAUAAUUGUUGUAUUUAAAUUAAAGCG